GACGAACGCUGGCGGCGUGCCUAACACAUGCAAGUCGAACGGGGUGAUAUCCUUCGGGAGAUCACUUAGUGGCGAACGGGUGAGUAACGCGUGAGAAACCUGCCUUUCAGUGGGGGACAACAGUUGGAAACGACUGCUAAUACCGCAUAAUGUAUUUUGGGGGCAUCCCUGAAAUACCAAAGCUUUAUGUGCUGAAAGAUGGUCUCGCGUCUGAUUAGCUAGAUGGCGGGGUAACGGCCCACCAUGGCGACGAUCAGUAGCCGGUCUGAGAGGAUGAACGGCCACAUUGGGACUGAGAUACGGCCCAGACUCCUACGGGAGGCAGCAGUGGGGAAUAUUGGGCAAUGGGGGAAACCCUGACCCAGCAACGCCGCGUGAAGGAAGAAGGCCUUCGGGUUGUAAACUUCUUUUAGCAGGGACGAAUACGUGACGGUACCUGCAGAAAAGCAACGGCUAACUACGUGCCAGCAGCCGCGGUAACAC
rnacentral:rRNA from 1 species